UAAGGUGCCAUAGGUCGUUGUCUUUCACUCAGUUAUGCUGUUGGAGUUGAUGGACUCACUUUAUCUUCCAAGCCUUCCGAUGUUAUCAUUUUUAGAUGGCCUUAAGCCAUAUUAUUGCAAUAAGUUCUCUUUUGAUAAAUUCGAUGUAAGUGUGUGAUUGAAACUCUGUUAUAAAUCCUCAAGUACUAUGCGUGUCAGCAUUACCGAUCCAGGGAUGACACUGAUGCACAGAGGCUAGACUGUUUGAGGUCUGGUCGCUACAAUGCCAUAGAUGUGUCUCCUUUGGUCGACGUCAUAGUAUUUCCUAUUCUUCUUGUUGGCAAGUAAAUGUUGGAAUUAUGCCCUAGAGGCAAUGAUAAAUAAGUUAUUAUUAUAAUUCCUGUA
rnacentral:lncRNA from 1 species